rnacentral:rRNA from 1 species
GACGUAGGGCGCAAGCGUUGUCCGGAUUUAUUGGGCGUAAAGGGUGCGUAGGCGGCUCGUUGCGUCGGCUGUGAAAACCCGCAGCUCAACUGUGGGCUUGCAGCCGAUACGGGCGGGCUAGAGUUCGGUAGGGGAGACUGGAAUUCCUGGUGUAGCGGUGAAAUUCGUAGAUAUCAAGCGGAACACCGGUGGCGAAGGCGCCUUCUGGACAGUGACUGACGCUGAGACGCGAAAGCGUGGGGAGCAAACAGG